UUCCGUAGGGGAACCUGCGGAGGGAUCAUUA
rnacentral:rRNA from 4 species